ACUUUUCGGUGGCAAUUGCGAAGAGGAGACACCCGUUCCCAUCCCGAACACGGAAGUUAAGCUCUUUAGCGCCGAUGGUACUGCUCGGGCGACUGAGUGGGAGAGUAGGACGCCGCCGAAUUUU
rnacentral:rRNA from 1 species